rnacentral:rRNA from 1 species
UACGUAGGGGCUAGCGUUAUCCGGAAUUACUGGGCGUAAAGGGUGCGUAGGUGGUUUCUUAAGUCAGAGGUUAAAGGCUACGGCUCAACCGUAGUAAGCCUUUGAAACUGGGAAACUUGAGUGCAGGAGAGGAGAGUGGAAUUCCUAGUGUAGCGGUGAAAUGCGUAGAUAUUAGGAGGAACACCAGUUGCGAAGGCGGCUCUCUGGACUGUAACUGACACUGAGGCACGAAAGCGUGGGGAGCAAACAGGAUUAGAUACCCGGGUAGUCCCUGAGCGGGCU